rnacentral:lncRNA from 1 species
AUGAGCCACUGUACUGAGCUGUGCCUACUUCAAAAGACUGAAAAUAAAAAUAGAUAAAUCUUUGCCAAAUUAAAAAACAAAGCAAUAGUUUCCAGGUCUUAGAUAAAGACAAUUCUGUGUCACGAAGAAUGGCAAAAGGCUUAUUUAGCUGUUAAAAUGAUUUGCUUAUAUUUCAAAGAAGCAGAGAAAAAAAGGUACAUAUAAAAGUUUACCAGGCCAGACAAGGUGGUUCAGCCUGUAAUCCCAACAUUUGGGGAGGCCAAGGCAGGAGGAUCUCUUGAAGCCAAAUGUUUGAGUCCAGUACAGGCAACAUGGUGAAAUUCUGUCACCAUAAAAAAAUAAACUAAAAUAAAUAUGGCUGGGCAUGUUGGCUCACGUCUGUAAUCCCAGCACUUUGGGAGUCGGAGGCAGGUGGAUAAUGAGGUCAGGGGUUAGAGACCAGCCUGGCCAAAAUGGUGAAACCCUUUCUCUCCUAAAAAUAAUAACAAUAAAAAAUAAACCAGGCAUGGUGGUUUGCACCUGUAAUCCCAGCUACUCAAAAGGUUGAGGCAGGAGAAUUGCUUGAACCCGGGAGGCGGAGGUUGCAUUGAGCUAAGAUCAUGCCACUACACUCUAGCCUGGCCCACAGAGCAAGACACUGUCUUGAAAAAAAUAAAUAAAUAAAUAAAGUUAGCCAGGCAUGGUGGUGCAUGCCUAUAGUCCUAGGUAAUUAAGAGGUUGACGCAGGAGGACUGCUCAAACCCAAAAUGUUAAGGUUAUAGUGAGCUAUGAUUAUGCCAUUGCACUUCAGACUAAGUAAAAGAGUAAGAUUCUGUCUCAAAAAAUUAAUAAUAAAAGUUUUCUAAAUUACAUUGUUUAAGAAAAGGGAAAAGGAAAAAAUAUAUUGUUUUUAUUUUCAAAUGGGAGAAUAGAGCCUCUCAUUUCUAACUUGUAUUUCCUUCUGCAGAAAGUUGGUCUAGGUCCAUGGUCUUGAACUACUGGACAUCUGAAUUUUAGUAGGUGCUGGAUUCAGGCAACUGAAGGGUGGCCUUGGGCACACUGUGUGCACAUAAAAAAAAGGGUUUGAGGUGAACUAGAAGGUAAAAGAGGGGAAAGUGCUAUUAAGAACCCACAAUUGGGAGACAGUACAGGGUUGGUGGAAGGACUGGUUCAUGGUACAGAUACUGACCCAGGUGAAACUUUGUUCUGACUUAUUUCUAUGUCCAUGCAGGAAGGUGAGAUUGUGAUCAGGUGGCACAGAAACCUGGGAUGGUGAAAAAACCAGGUUGCCACUGCAGAUACGGUGUCUGAGGUAGAGCAUAUGCCAGGGGUCUUGUAGGCACGUGUGUGGGUUUUUGGUGGGAAAGUCUAUGAGGAAAGGUAGCGUGGCAACAAUCUUGAUGCCGAAGCCCUGUCCUGGGAGGGGCUUGACCACAUCAACACGCAGUGCGUAUGUUCGGUGGGUGAAAAACAUGUGGUGGCCUCAGGUUGGCAGGAGGGCAGAGGGCAUCUGUUCUCAGAAAUUCUUCCCUCAGAGUCCUUGGUCCUUCUCACCCUGGGAGGAUGCCUGGAACCACAGGGCAGUGCAUGGUGUAGCAGGCUGUGUGCAGAGCAGAGCCUACCUUCCCCGAGACACCUGGAGUCUCUCUCCAGCAGAGGCCCCCACAUUGUCUUUCUUCUUACAACACUUUUGAUCCUGAAGGUGUAAAGUUCCCUGAAAACCCACUGAUUCUCCAACACCCAUUUGUUGCCCCAAAAUUUAAUUCUGACACAACUUAGAGUUCGCACAGACCCCACAAAUUCAGGGCUCAGUCUCACAUCACCGCUCUCACUGCAGAGGACAGUCACAUGUCCCGGAAGCCCAUCUAUACUGCUGAGCUACCUCCUAUAAAUCUGAGACUCCCAUAAACCCCUUUUCAAGUUAAAUAAUUUGACAGAAUUACUUAAAAAAAAACAAAUAACUCUAAUUAUAUUUACCACUUUAUUAUAAAAAUAUAACUCAGAAACAGCCAAAUGGAAGAGAUGUCUAGGGCAAGGAACAGUUGUGGGUGAAGGUAAUCCUGGAAAUAGCUAUAUUCAAAGAAAUUCCCCCAUUCUUUGUAUUCUCAAAGAACAGCUUAGUGAAGAGAAACGUGCUUCCCAUUAUGACUUUGGGGAUGCUCCCCGCUGUUUUUUUUAAACCUAUCACAAAGAUGGACACAGAUUGCAAAUUCCUAUUUUUAAAAAUGAACAAUCAUUCAGUAAUUUAGUCUUCAGUGGUCAAAACAAAGUACUCGUUACAAAAAUUUUGCUUGUUUCUCUUCUUCCAACCAGCCCAUGAACUUUGACUCACCCACAGCCUCAGCAAACCUACAACCCUUAUUUAUACAUACCCUUCCUAAGAACAGGCUGACUUCAAGGUGAAACAUUACCUUAUCUGGGAUCAGAUUUUGCUACCCUCCAUCCUGUGCUUCCCUUCCUACCUUCUUUGUAAACUUGUUUUCUCCUCCCUAUGAAAUAAAGCCCUUUUCCACCUAACCUUUGAGAUCCUCAAAGAUCUAAUCAUUUGUACUUUUUCUUUGUUGCAAUGCUUCUUAGGUAUCUUCUUAGACCAAGUCUAGAAACAGUCUUAGGACAAUAACAAUUCCAUUCUAGAAAGAAUCUCCCAACAUUUCUUCUAUCUCAACCUCAACUGCAUCUGCCUGUGAACUUCCAGCUUACCAAGGCUCUAUAUCUUCUGGCAGUGACAAAGGCUCCUUCCAUGGUUGGUGUGAGCAGGCUUGGACACCUGCAGGGCAGACACCCAGGAAUAAUCAACUGGGCCUUAAGUGGUCCCCUUUUGCUGGAUCAAGGUGGGCCUUAGCUUUUAGUCAAUGGUCUAAGACCUCUACUUACCAGUUAGAGUCAUUCAGUUAGUUUUCAAUUUAAAAAAUACUUCAUGUUUGAAGAAUCCAGCAAAAAUUAUUCAAAUCUAAGGUAUAAAAGAGAGGAAAUUAUGGCCGGGCAUGGUGACUCAUGCCUGUAAUCCCUGCAUUUUGGGAGGCCGAGGCGGGCAGAUGACAUGAGGUCAGGAGUUUGAGACCAGCCUGAACAACAUGAAGAAACCCCGUCUCUACUAAAAAUACAAAAUUAGCCGGGUGUGGUGGUGUAUGCCUGUAAUCCCAGCUACUCGGGAGGCCGAGGCAGGAGAAUCGCUUGAACCCGGGAAGUGGAGGUUGCAGUGAGCCGAGGUCGUGCCAUUGCACUCCAGCCUGGGCAACAAGAGUGAAACUACAUGUAAAAAAUAAAAUAAAAUAAAAAAGAACAUUAUAAGGGGCUUACAUCUUAUAACUCAUCAAGAAAAGCCAAAGUGUCUAUCCCUUUCAGAAAAUAAACAUGUAAUUUAAUUAUGUUCAUAACAAAUCAUUUGGGUAAACAAUUAAUCAUAUGUGAACACUUCCAGGGGGUGCGAAGUCUCAGCUCCUAAAACUUAGCAUCACCCUCAGACACCCAGAUGGCAGCAUAUGGAACAGAGAUAUUCACUUGCACAAGUUCUCUGUUUUGAAAAAAAGAAUAACUGAUGGGAUAAAUUUAUGUAAUUUGACAAUUAAUCUACCUCACUUGCUUGUGGAUAUGUAUUCAUUUCCUACCACUGUAGUGGAAGAGAGACUAUCCCUGUCUUUACACCCGGUAGCAUUUCCAACAGUAAGCUGUGAGAUUCUGCUUGAAAUCACCUCUCAAACAAAUAAAAAACAGACCUGGGAAAUGUGCUACACUCAUUCUGCUGAAGAAAUUGGGCAAGAAUGUUUUCUAAGACCGCGAACUCCAGAUUUGCGAUGUGGCAAAUCCUGAAGCGUACAUGGAUAUCUCUCACAGCUAAAGUAUCCCUCACCCCUACCCAGUGCUUCUUACCCCUGGCGCGAGAGAAUCACCUGCGGGGAGGAAAACUUUCAAAAUCCCUUAAACCCAAGUUGUAACCGAUCAAUUAAAUCAGAAUCCUUGCAGUUGGAUCUGAAAAAAAUACGGUUUAAAGUUGUGCAGGUGAUUACAAUGUGUAGGCACGCCACAAAACCAUGGGUUUAACCAGCAACCUUUGUUAGAAAUGAUUUCUCAAAUGAAUGUAAAAACGUUUGCUGCUGAAUUGUGACCUUUCCAUUUUACUUGCUUUUCCUACAAAGUAUAUUUUGCAGACCCAGGCAGUGCUGCUUGCUCUGUUCUUGAUUCACCGAGUGCCGUGUGUGCUCAGUGCAUCCUGUGCACUGGUCACUGUGCUGUGUGCCCUGGCCUGGGUGAGCAUCAUUCUUCGGGGAGAACCUUGCUGAAAACAAAGCUGCAUUCCAAAAAGUUAAAACCAUGCUACUUACUGUGUUGAGGUUAAAAUUAAAAGACCUAGGGGACUCAUCCAAAAGUUAAAACAUAAAUAAAUAACUUGGAACAUUAAUAUACACCUGAUGAUGUCCUGAGUGAACAUGCCCCACUUUAAAACAAAACAAAACAUUACUAUUAUUCUAAAAUAUUAAUUUAGGAUUGUUAUGCAAAUAUGUACAAUUUAAAUUUUUAUUGAUGUAUAACAUGCAUACCGCAAUAUAGGCACAAAACGUUUAUGGAAUGCUUGAUGAGUUAUUACAAAAUAAAUACACUUGUGUAUCUAAGAAUCAGAUUUGUUCAUGCCCUUGACACUUUCUCCUUCCAAAAGGUAACCAAGACCUUAAGAGAUAAGUGCAGAUAAACUUUGUCAUUUUGUACAAGUGUUUUAUUACAGAACAUUAAAAACGUAUACACGAUACAAAAAAAGUAUAACAGACCAGUCACCCAGCUUUAACAGCUACUAGUCAUGUGUCAUUUUUGUGUCACUUAUACUUCCAGCCAUUCCCCCACCAAUUUCAUUUUUUUUAGGCUUUUUGGAUAAAAUGUAUAUUCAUUGCAAGGUACAAUGUGAACUGUAAAUAGUAGAGAGAUGGGGUUUCACCAUGUUGGCCAGGCUGACCUUGAACUCCUCACCUCAGGUGAUCCAACCUCAGGUGAUCCAACCGCUUCAGCUUCCCAAAGUGCUGGGAUUACAGGCAUGAGCCAAUAUACUCGGCCUGAGAAUUCAUAUUUCUAACGAAGUACAAAUCCAUAGGUCACAUGACAACUGCAAUAUCUAUCUACAGUAGAUACAGUUUGAUGAAUAAAAUGAAAGGCAAUUGACCUAAGGUGAAAAAAAAAAAAACAAAAAACAAUCAAAGCAUGGGUAUUACGUGCUAUCUGUAGGAGCAUUUGGUUAAGAAUAACAAACAAACCAAUUUUAUCGUUUUAAUAACCGAAAUUGUCAAAAUUUCUAGUUUUUCUUUCAUAGAAAUGCUCUCUGCAAGAAAAAGAUUUCAUAUAGUGAGAGCAAAAAUGGCAACCAUUUGCAAGUAAAUGUCUUAGGAAAUUAAGUAGCAGAUACCAACCUCAUGACCUUCAGAUAGUUACCCCAAACUCAAUCAUUUACAUAGCAAGUUCAGAUAAUUUUCAUAGCUUCCUAUUAAAAUUAUAUUUGAAUGCUCUUACAAAUUGUGACUGUGUUCACAUAAAAUUCACUAACUAAUAUUUUGUAUAUGACAUAUGAUAAAUUCCACUUCAAGUCACCUUACAUUUAUUUAAUUUUAUUAGGCAGUGUCUGUCUACCUCCCAGUAAUACUUGGGGAUUCUCCCAUUUGCACAGACAUCAUAGCUGGGGAAACAGGGAUUCAAAAGAUCCAGGCUGUUCCCUACAUAUUUUUCCUCCUCAGACAUCAGUUCAUCAGUCAAUCAAGUCAGGUGAGAGUGGAGGCCAUGUAUUCCUUAUUCUUGGGCACUGUCCUCCAAGGAGGAAGAGGCCAGGAGGUCCUGUUAGAGGAUGCACUCUGAGAGGCCGGGCUCCCUAAGGUGUGAGGGUUCUAACCAGCAGGUGUAGACUUUUCAGGAGUGAGGAAUGAGGCAGGCAUUCCAAACCUGGAGCUUCAUCACCUUUUGUUUCAUCUCAAGACAAUUCUGAGGGGCUGUUUUGGAACGUGUCUGGAAGGUGAACAUUGAAGAAGAGUGGGCUUUGAUGUGACUCAGAUAAGAUC